UACGAAGGGGGCUAGCGUUGCUCGAAAUCACUGGGCGUAAAGCGCACGUAGGCGGAUUGUUAAGUCAGGGGUGAAAUCCUGGAGCUCAACUCCAGAACUGCCUUUGAUACUGGCGAUCUUGAGUCCGGGAGAGGUGAGUGGAACUGCGAGUGUAGAGGUGAAAUUCGUAGAUAUUCGCAAGAACACCAGUGGCGAAGGCGGCUCACUGGCCCGGUACUGACGCUGAGGUGCGAAAGCGUGGGGAGCAAACAGG
rnacentral:rRNA from 1 species